rnacentral:rRNA from 1 species
AGUGAACGCUGGCGGUAGGCCUAACACAUGCAAGUCGAACGGCAGCACAGUAAGAGCUUGCUCUUACGGGUGGCGAGUGGCGGACGGGUGAGGAAUACAUCGGAAUCUACUUUUUCGUGGGGGAUAACGUAGGGAAACUUACGCUAAUACCGCAUACGACCUACGGGUGAAAGCAUGGGAUCUUCGGACCUUGCGCGAUUGAAUGAGCCGAUGUUGGAUUAGCUAGUUGGCGGGGUAAAGGCCCACCAAGGCGACGAUCCGUAGCUGGUCUGAGAGGAUGAUCAGCCACACUGGAACUGAGACACGGUCCAGACUCCUACGGGAGGCAGCAGUGGGGAAUAUUGGACAAUGGGCGCAAGCCUGAUCCAGCCAUACCGCGUGAGUGAAGAAGGCCUUCGGGUUGUAAAGCCCUUUUGUUGGGAAAGAAAAGCAGCAGGUUAAUACCCCGCUGUUCUGACGGUACCCAAAGAAUAAGCACCGGCUAACUUCGUG